rnacentral:rRNA from 1 species
UACGAAGGGGGCUAGCGUUGCUCGGAAUCACUGGGCGUAAAGCGCACGUAGGCGGCUUUCUAAGUCAGGGGUGAAAUCCUGGAGCUCAACUCCAGAACUGCCUUUGAUACUGGAGAGCUUGAGUCCGGGAGAGGUGAGUGGAACUCCGAGUGUAGAGGUGAAAUUCGUAGAUAUUCGGAAGAACACCAGUGGCGAAGGCGGCUCACUGGCCCGGUACUGACGCUGAUGUGCGAAAGCGUGGGGAGCAAACAGGGAGUUAAGAUACCCCA